rnacentral:hammerhead_ribozyme from 1 species
AUCCUGCUGAUGGGUCAUAAAUAGGACGAAACGUGCGUCAACCUGGAU